rnacentral:rRNA from 1 species
AUUGAACGCUGGCGGCAGGCCUAACACAUGCAAGUCGAGCGGAUGAAGGGAGCUUGCUCCUGGAUUCAGCGGCGGACGGGUGAGUAAUGCCUAGGAAUCUGCCUGGUAGUGGGGGAUAACGUCCGGAAACGGGCGCUAAUACCGCAUACGUCCUGAGGGAGAAAGUGGGGGAUCUUCGGACCUCACGCUAUCAGAUGAGCCUAGGUCGGAUUAGCUAGUUGGUGGGGUAAAGGCCUACCAAGGCGACGAUCCGUAACUGGUCUGAGAGGAUGAUCAGUCACCCUGGAACUGAGACACGGUCCAGACUCCUACGGGAGGCAGCAGUGGGGAAUAUUGGACAAUGGGCGAAAGCCUGAUCCAGCCAUGCCGCGUGUGUGAAGGAGGUCUUCGGAUUGUAAAGCACUUUAAGUUGGGAGGAAGGGCAGUAAGUUAAUACCUUGCUGUUUUGACGUUACCAACAGAAUAAGCACCGGCUAACUUCGUG